rnacentral:rRNA from 1 species
UCCUUCGGGUGAAAUUAGAACUGGAAAGUGGCGAACGGGUGAGUAACGCGUGGGUAACCUGCCCUAUGGAAAGGAAUAGCCUCGGGAAACUGGGAGUAAAGCCUUAUAUUAUGGUUUUGUCGCAUGGCAAGAUCAUGAAAACUCCGGUGCCAUAGGAUGGACCCGCGUCCCAUUAGCUAGUUGGUGAGAUAACAGCCCACCAAGGCGACGAUGGGUAACCGGUCUGAGAGGGCGAACGGUCACACUGGAACUGAGACACGGUCCAGACUCCUACGGGAGGCAGCAGUGGGGAAUAUUGCGCAAUGGGGGCAACCCUGACGCAGCAAUACCGCGUGAGUGAAGAA